CCCGGUGUGGCGAAACUGGCAGACGCGAACGACUCAAAAUCGUUUGACCUCACGGUCAUCUCGGUUCGACCCCGAGCACCGGGACCA
rnacentral:tRNA from 1 species